rnacentral:lncRNA from 1 species
UGAUUCAAACAUGCAAAGCACCGCAAUUUAUCAGAUAGAUCGACAAAAUCCCUUAACCACCCCGGAAAGAAAAUAGUCUAGAUCGAAAACAAGAUUGAGUAGGACAAGAGAAACAUAAUAUGAAGAGACAAACUGGGAAAUCUAAAGGAAAACAAAACCCAACUUCGGCUCUAAGGAAGCUGCUGGAGUCGGAGAAGCGAACUCAGAUUUGAUUAUCCUAAAGAGAAGCCA